AGGAUCACUGGUUCCGGGCCUCAGGCACCAUCUCCGCCCCAUAAAGAAGAGAACCAAAUUCCUGCCUUCCUGCAUAGACAACAAGAAGGCCAGGACCCUUGCACCAGGAUGGAAGCAGGAGCCUGCAGAGCAGAGCAGACACAGGGAGCUGCGUGUGGAUGCCAGCGAGGAGCCCAGCUGAGAUCUGGGGGGCUUCAGCACACUGAAAAGCAGGAGACAGCAUCCAAAGCCCAGCCUGGGCACUGAGAGGUUCACAGAAGGGACAGGCACUGGCCAUCAGGGUGCAACCUGUGAUUUCAGCCUUACGGGAGGCUGAGUCAGGGGAUAGCAAGUUUGGCUCAGGCCGGGCAGCUUAGUACCUGUGUCAGACUCUGUCUGAAAAGAAUAAAUAAAUAAAUAAAUAAAUAGGCUGUGAAUGUGAAGAUCCUACUUCAAUUCCUAGACCCAUCACCAAGAAAAAUAAAGAAGGAAAGAGGAAAGAAAGAAAAUUGUUAAGAAUUUGAAAAAUGAGAUGACUUUGGAACUAGAGACCACUAAAUGCAGGUCUGAGUUUGUAGUUAAUCCUAACACACCUGAAUAUUUACAGUUAGGACCAGGCUUCAGGGCCUGUCAGUAUCAAGGACUCACUCAUAGAAGUUACUCUGAUUCAAGAAGGGGAACAGAAGGAAUCUUGUUCUGUGUGAGAAACAAGGAAGCUGCUUUCUUCUGACAGUGUCUUCACAAGACUGAAUACCCAGGAUUUGUCAGUCACAGGGUCACUGGUUCUGGGCCUCCAGCACCAUCUCCGCCCCAUAAAGAAGAGAACCAAAUUCCUACCUUCCCGCAUAGACAACAGGAAGGAGGAAGCUGUGAAGGCCAGGGCAGCUGAGCCAGGAUGGAGGCAGGAGCCCUGCAGAGCAGAGCAGACACAGGGAGCUGUGUGUGGAUGCCAGCGAGGAGCUCAGGUUUCAGAACAAUACAACUUCAAAGGAGGCAUGUGAAAUGGAUUUAUAUUUGACUUUUAAAAGAACUCAUUCUCUGUUUCUUUGGUUUUGAAUUUCUGAACAAUGGCCAUGUCGUUUUGAAGUGUCAGCAGGCAACUCCACAGAGGGCACUGCCUCACUUAACAGACUAUAACACCACUCAGACAGCAGCCCCACCACCACCCACACAAUGAGGCUAACACAGAUAUUCUGGAGCCAGAAAGAAUUUGCAAAUUUGGCUGCUAAUUUUUUACUGUAUAGCAUUAUAGCCCAACAUUUUUGGGAUUUUGGAUUAUUUUAUGAACCAAAAAAGAUGCAAGGGGCACAAAAGCAGAAACUGUUCCAUGCAACCAUCUAAUUUGGACCCGACUCUGUGUUAAGAAGAGAUUUAACAGCCAUUAAUAUAAGGUCUUUUCAUGACUGUCUGUGGAAAGCGGUAAGGAUUCUUCUGUCUCGCCUCCUCCAGCCUCCCCAUAAAAACCAGCCUAUUAGAGGCAGGAUGUUUCAUUUCCGUGUCCCGUGUUGUUUGUCCUCUAGGUGCUGAUGGGUAUGCUAAUUUAAGUGACAAUUAUAAAUAGUACUUCCUGAGUGAAGCAGGAGGAAUAGACUUGCUAAUGUGUUCACUUGUUUGGCAAGAAAGAUGAAAGAUUACACACAGGAAAAGAAAUAAAUGUAAACAGUCACUUCACAUCUACAGAACUUUGGGUUCUUCAGUUUCUCCUCAAGGUUUGUGUUCAUUAUUCAAGAUAAUCCUCCUCUGGGUUUGUUUCUUCUGGGGUUUGCUUGAAAGAACAUUUUCAAAUGUCCCACCAUGGGUGUUUCCUUCUGGUGGGUGUUUUAUGAAAAGCAAGGUGAUGAUAUUUUAUGAUGAUAACAAUCCUGAGCAGGGAGAGUGGCCGGGGUAAGUGCUUCCCUGCUGGCUGUCACGGAGACUCAGGGCUGGUGGUGCUGUUUCCAAGAGAGUGAGCGACCCUGGGUAGAGCAAGGGGCUACAGGAAAGCAGUGGAGAGCAACAUGGAUGAAUGAUAAAGUCCCAGAAAAUCUACAAAGAGCAGCAGGACACACUUUCAAUGAUGAACUGAGAGAUGAGAAGACGGUUGAAUACCCUGUGUGUCUGGGAUAAGCGAACUCCACUUAUUAGGCACCUUGGGACCAGUAUAUGACAGAGUUCGCUGGUGGAUAACAGCUUUGGACUUCAGGGUGAACAUUAAGGAUUUGGACUAUGAACUUUCUGUCUUUUUAAAUCAGAAAAAAAGGUGAAUAAAUGAUGCUCUCAAAUCUAGUAUAGGAAGAGCCUUGUAAGAUUUGGAGACCCCACUGUACCUCAAAUUACAGUUAGGACCAGGCUUCACGGCCUGUCAGUAUCAAGGACUCACUCAUAGAAGUUACUCUGAUUCAAGAAGGGGAACAGGAGGAACCUUGUUCUGUGAGAGAAACAAGGAAGCUGCUUCCUUCUGACAGUGUCUUCACAAGACUGAUACCCAGGAUUUGUCAGUCACAGGUGAGAUUGGGGGGAUACUGUCUAGAUAAAUUAUUCAAUGCAAUGGGGAUUUAAUAUUUUAUCUCUUCUUUUCUUGAUUGUGAGCAUAUUCUAGUAGCAUAAAAUCUCUUGAAAAUAUGAUAUGAAUGGCAGCAUGUUUUUAAUUAUCAGUGGGGAGGUCCCACUUGUUUUCACCAUUAUGCCUGAUAGUGUCACAGGCAGCUGAGUUAUUUAGAAAUAUUACAGGCAGUCAGACAGUGUUGGGCCCUCAAAGGAACCAGAGCACGAAUUCAGAUAACUUGCAGCUUUGGAAGAGACAAUCACCUCCUGCUGUGGGCCAGAUCACAAGAGAAGAGGCAAAGCAAAUAUACCUACAUCCUAAAGAUUCACAGUCUGGAUAGAUCUCUCCACCUUGAGAAGCCAGGAGUCAGCAUCCCACCCCGCUACAGGAAGGGUCAGUGCUAUUCAGCAUGCCGCUUACUAUGUGACUCGCUCCCCUGUUUGCUCCUAAUUUAAUCAAUUUUAUCUGAGCAAUUAAUCUUAUUGGUUUACCACAGUUCUGUCCCACUUUAUGCCCACCUUGUGAGUUCCCAUUUUCCCAACCUUUGAACCAUCUAACCUCAUGAUUUUACCCUAUAAAAGUCCCUAGAAAAGGCAGAGUCCCUAGCAACCCACUUGGGACCCUUUCUGUCGCUCUCAGACAGUUUUCUUUCUCUCAAUAAAUAAA